GCAGUGAGGAAUAUUGGUCAAUAGUCUAACGACUGAACCAGCAAUUUGGAGGAAUGAACAUAUGUAUAACAUAUAUUAAUUUACUUAAUUAAAGUUCUAGAUAGAUUACUGAUAAUGACAAUUAUCUAUCUAUAAGUCUUGACCAAAUCUAGUGCCAGCCGUCGCGGCAAGACCAGAAAGACUGCGUUAUUCAUCUUAAUUAGGUUUAAAGGGUACCUAGACGGUAAAGAAACUAAAAAAUAGUGAUUUACUAGAGUUAAUGGAAUGAAAGGAUAGAACUGAUAGUGUAGAGAUGAAAUUUUGUAAUACUAAUCAGGACUGAUAAAGGCGAAAGCAAUCCUUUAAGAUUAACUGACGUUGAGGGACGAAGGCCUGGGUAGCAAACAGGAUUAGAUACCCUAAUAGUCCAGGCAGAAAAUUAUGAGUGCCAUAGGCUCCAAAGGUCUAUAAAUUAAAGUGCAAGCAUUCCACCUCAAGAGUAAUGUGGCAACACAGGAACUGAAAUCAUUAGACCGUGUCUGAAACCAGUAGUGAAGUAUGUUAUUUAAUUCGAUGACCCCCGAAAAACCUUACCACAGCUUGAAUAUUUACUAUUUGGUAAUUACAGGUGCUGCACGGCUGUCUUCAGUCAAUGUCGUGAGAGAGAGAUUUAUACAUCCUAUAAAUAGGCGUAAACCCUUAUACUUACUUUAUUAUGUAAGAUAGUUCAUUAAAUUUGAUAAUAGGGAUCAAGACAAGUCAUCAUGGCAAAAAUGCAGUGGGCUAUAGACGUGGCCACAU
rnacentral:rRNA from 1 species